rnacentral:rRNA from 1 species
GUUAAGAAUUUGAUCCUAGUUCAGGGUGAAUGCUAGCGGUGUGCUUAAGAUAUGCAAGUCGAGCGAUUCUUCGCAAGAAGGAUAGCGGCGAACGGCUGAGUAACACGUAGGAACCUACCCCCAACUCAGGGAUAGCUCCGGGAAACCGGAAUUAAUACCUGAUGUGAAGGCAACUUUAAAGAUUUAUCGGUUGGGGAUGGGCCUGCGGCCUAUCAGGUAGUUGGCGGGGUAAAUGCCCACCAAGCCUACGACGGGUAGCUGAUGUUAGCGCAUGAUCAGCCAGAGGGGCACUGAGACACGGGCCUCACUCCUACGGGAGGCAGCAAUCGGGAA